rnacentral:rRNA from 1 species
UGGCGGCGUGCCUAAUACAUGCAAGUCGAACGGUCUUUCUAUGGAAGCUUGCUUCCACUGAGAAGAUAGUGGCGAACGGGUGAGUAACACGUGGGUAACCUGCCCAUAAGAGGGGGAUAACAUCCGGAAACGGGUGCUAAUACCGCAUAGUUUUCUUGAUCGCAUGAUCGGGAAAGGAAAGACGGCCUUUGUGCUGUCGCUUAUGGAUGGACCCGCGGCGUAUUAGUUAGUUGGUGAGGUAACGGCUCACCAAGACGAUGAUACGUAGCCGACCUGAGAGGGUGAUCGGCCACAUUGGGACUGAGACACGGCCCAAACUCCUACGGGAGGCAGCAGUAGGGAAUCUUCCGCAAUGGACGAAAGUCUGACGGAGCAACGCCGCGUGAGUGAAGAAGGUUUUCGGAAUCGUAAAACUCUGUUGUCAGAGAAGAACAAGUUGGAGAGUAGCUGCUCCAGCCUUGACGGUAUCUGACCAGAAAGCCACGGCUAACUACGUGCCAGCAGCAGC